rnacentral:rRNA from 1 species
GACGAACGCUGGCGGCGUGCUUAACACAUGCAAGUCGAACGGGCCUUGUCCCCUUUUUUUUGGGGGUGGGGUUAGUGGCGAACGGGUGAGUAACACGUGAGUAACCUGCCCCUCACUUCUGGAUAACCGCUUGAAAGGGUGGCUAAUACGGGGUGUUCUGGCCUGCUCGCAUGGGUGGGUUUGGAAAGAUUCGACCGGUUUUGGUUGUUUUGGUGGGGGAUGGGCUCGCGGCCUAUCAGCUUGUUGGUGGGGGGAUGGCCUGCCAAGGCUUUGACGGGUAGCCGGCCUGAGAGGGUGGGCGGUCACACUGGGACUGAGACACGGCCCAGACUCCUACGGGAGGCAGCAGUGGGGAAUAUUGCACAAUGGGCGCAAGCCUGAUGCAGCGACGCCGCGUGAGGGAUGGAGGCCGUCGGGUUGUGAACCUCUUUCGCCAGUGAAGAAGGUCCUGCUCUUUGUGGUGGGGUUGACGGUAGCUGGGUUAAUGAAGCGCCGGCUAACUACGUG